CGGGCUGUCGGCGGCAGUGCUCGGCUCCUCUGCAGGCUGUUCCUCUGUCUGACUGUCGGUGUCCACUCCUCACUUCUUCUUCUUCUUCUUCUUCUCCUUCCUUUUCUGACUAUCUCAUCUGGUACCGGUGCGGCCGCAUGUCUGAGUGCAGGUGGGGACAGAGCAGUGGACCAGUGGAGAACGCUGUCGCCUGGACGUGUCCGCCCGCCCCCUGUGUCUGAGGUCCAACAGCACGGUGGUUAUUUCCCACAACAAACCCCAGUCCAGGAAGUGCUGUCAAAAAUCUGGUGACGUCAGCACGUCACAUGAGCACCGUCCUGCGUCUGCACCGUGUCCUGGAGAAACGAUGGUCGAUCUGCUGCAUGUCAUCGUAAGGUCUCUGCUUCAGGAGGCUGGAUCCAACUCACUGAUCGUGGAUCAGUUCCUGGAGGAGGACAAUCAAGAGUCAGGACUGGAUUUUUAACAACAACAACAACAAAAUCUGACAGCACCUGUUGUCAGUGAAAUUGAAUUUGAGGUCAACUCUCAUUAUCCUAAUUGUCUAAUUAAUCAGCGGACCAACUCCCUGAAGUGACACCUGAUGAUAUAAUCAAUUCAUAUACGGAGCCUCUUGUUUCCAUCCUGGGGGAGACAUUUGUCCGUUUGUUCGUACUGACUUCGCUCGACAUCAUCAUCGCUGCUCAGUACGACGUGAAUUGUGUUUUUUGGUGAGGUCCUAUUUAAUGUUUGCGUUGCCUCUCAUGUUAAAGGCGUGUUUCUCUCAUGGUAAAUUGAAACCAAUUGCUCAGAUGCGCUUCACUCUCCUCUCCAGAGAGCGCUCUGGAUCAGAGCCAGACUUCUCCUGCAGAAGCCCGGGAGGUAAUUAAGUGGCAGCAGCCUUGGGCAUGCUGUUUCAGGUAUCCGAGUGAAAUAAUACAAGCAGGGCUGCUACUUUAACAUAAAACAGACAAUGCAGCAUACAUAAACAUGCAAAUAGAUGUGCACACUAAGCUCCUGUGAGUGUUUGGUGCAGCAAACCAGCAAGGUUUCACAUUUCAAGGAACGAGCAACAGUCCCAGAUGAUGCUCUCCAUACUGAUGAGACUUGAACAUGGGCGGAAAAAAAAAGGACAACAAAGUGUCUCAUUGUGCUUAUCAAGCCUGUAGGAUAUAUUUCAGAAAAGACACUUGACCUAGCUAACGGGGAUGAUUUAUUUGGUUGAAUUCAUAAAGAAAA